GAGGGUGUAGCUCAAGUGGUAGAGUGCGUGUAUAGCGUGCAUGAGGUCCUGGGUUCAAUCCCCAGUAUUUCCU
rnacentral:tRNA from 1 species